rnacentral:rRNA from 1 species
CCUACGGGCGGCAGCAGUGGGGAAUAUUGCGCAAUGGGCGAAAGCCUGACGCAGCGACGCCGCGUGAGGGAUGAAGGUCUUCGGAUCGUAAACCUCUGUCAGCAGGGAAGAACGGUCACUGUGCUAAUCAGCAGUGACUUGACGGUACCUGCAAAGGAAGCACCGGCUAACUCCGUGCCAGCAGCCGCGGUAAUACGGAGGGUGCGAGCGUUAAUCGGAAUUACUGGGCGUAAAGCGGUCGUAGGCGGUAUGUCAAGUCAAGGGUGAAAUCCCCGCGCUCAACGUGGGAACUGCCUUUGAAACUGGGAAACUGGAGUGUGGGAGAGGAUAGUGGAAUUCCAGGUGUAGGAGUGAAAUCCGUAGAUAUCUGGAGGAACAUCAGUGGCGAAGGCGACUAUCUGGCACAUAACUGACGCUGAGGAGCGAAAGCGUGGGGAGCAAACAGGAUUAGAUACCCGAGUAGUC